rnacentral:rRNA from 1 species
GGCGAACGGGUGAGUAACACGUGGGUAAUCUGCCCUGCACUCUGGGAUAAGCCUGGGAAGCUGGGUCUAAUACUGGAUAUGACCUUUCUCCUUAUGGGGUUUGGUGGAAAGUUUUCGGUGUAGGAUGAGCCCGCGGCCUAUCAGCUUGUUGGUGGGGUGAUGGCCUACCAAGGCGACGACGGGUAGCCGGCCUGAGAGGGUGAUCGGCCACAUUGGGACUGAGAUACGGCCCAG